GGACAACCAAUUUUAGUUAUAAUUGUAAAAUCACAAUUUUAAUUUGAUAAAAACACAAUUUCAACUGUGUGUUCUGUACAGUAUAUAACUAUCACCCUUAUAUUUAGGUAUGACAACAAGGUGAAGCAAGAUCGGAUAAGGGUGCGUCUCAUCUUCUUUCCAGCUCAAAUUCAACCCCAAAAAGCUUCAUUCUGAUUCCCACUUAAAUCAACCAUAUGCUCCUUCUAACUUCUUUCACAAGGCAAGCCCCAAUUUAAUUCUAAUUUCUGGGUUAUGUUCCCAAAUUGGUGUAAAAGAAAAGGAUUUUAUUGGUUCUUGAUACGGAUAUUGUUGUUAAUUGUAACUCAACGAACCGAUUUGCCAUUUUAUGUGUUAUUAUCUGUUAUUAACAAAGCAGGAAGAACUUCAAGCAAAAUAAUGAAGAAGCCAGUAAAAUUGAGGUUAAUAUGGAAAAGGUCAUUAUCAUAAGCUGUUUGGGCCUAAUUUGGUUCUUCCUCAAAUGGGUUUUGUUUAUUUCGAUCAUAGACUCAAUGAAAAGUGAUGAAUUUGUAGUAUUAUCAUAGAUGGAGAUGAUGCAAUUCAAAUGAUUCUGAAGUCUUAUUGUUGAAAGAGGUUGUAAUGGGAAGGUUCCUCAGUGAAUUCGUACUGCCUAUGCUGCUGUUGAAAGCUAGUCACACGAAUCAGUCACCCAUCUUGGGUCUCUUUUCCAUUUCUCAUUUGUAGCAGCAUUGGACUUGUUGAUUGGUCUUUAACAAGCAAUUUUCUAGGUCUCUUCUGGUGGUGGAGGCAUUUUUGUUGUAUGCAGGCUUGAACAUCAUCCUUCUUUAUGUAUAUCAACUUCCCAUUGAGUUUUUUGAGAUCUUUCUUUGGGUUGCUGAAUUCAUUGGGCACUUUAAAAUAUCUGCAAAAUCAGAGCAGUCGGAAGUUUGUUAUGGUCUUUCCCUCCUACUUUUCUACGUCAUGGUAAGCAUAGUUUUAUUAUUACAUCUAUAAACUAGGUUAUGUUUUGUUUGGGGUCAUUGUCUGGUAUGAUGGUAUAGUCUUGGUUGUCAAGUGGGGAUGCAUCAUCAUACAUGAGUUUAGAGUGGCCACUUCUUGUAAAAGUUCCAAAGCUAAUAGCCUUUCUAGGUUUCGGCUGGACCAUCACUAGGUAAUGGCCUUAUCAAAUGAAACAAUUAUGUUCUCAUGUUGCAGUUUGUUCCUUAUUAGGGUUCUAUGCAAAUGUGUCAGAUUUGUUCUGAAUUCCCUAAAUAAAAAUGACCACUCU